UACGUAGGUGGCAAGCGUUGUCCGGAUUUACUGGGCGUAAAGAGCUCGUAGGCGGCCUGUCGCGUCUGCUGUGAAAUCCCGGGGCUCAACCCCGGGCUUGCAGUGGAUACGGGCUGGCUAGAGGCAGGCAGGGGAGAACGGAAUUCCCGGUGUAGCGGUGAAAUGCGCAGAUAUCGGGAGGAACACCGGUGGCGAAGGCGGUUCUCUGGGCCUGUACUGACGCUGAGGAGCGAAAGCGUGGGGAGCGAACAGG
rnacentral:rRNA from 1 species